GCCCUAUCCUCCAUCAUCUUCUUCCUCUUCCCCUUGUAGCCGCCGACCACCCCGCCCCCUUCUGCUCAGACUUCUUCUUCGGCGACACUCCCGCGGCCACAAGCGCAAGGUAGCGAAGACUGAGUCCAUACCCACGUGAACGCCCAGCUCUCAUUUUCCUGCUGUCCUACAGAAAAGUCAACCAUGCCGACCGUCAGCGUCGGAAGAGAUCUUCUAUUUGCUGCCAUUGGAAGAACUUAUACGCAGGAAGAGUUUGAAGAGCUGUGCUUUAGUUUUGGAAUUGAGCUUGAUGACGUUACGUCAGAGAAGGCGAUCAUUAGGAAAGAGAAGCAUUUGGAAGAAGAAGCGGAUGAAGAUGAAGAAGUCAUCUACAAGAUUGAAGUCCCCGCAAACAGAUACGAUUUGCUCUGUCUUGAAGGACUUGCUCAAGCCCUGCGCAUUUUUAAUAAGCAGGAGGAGACACCCAGAUAUACAUUAGCCAAUAUCAGCAGGGAAUCUAUGCAUAAAAUGCAUGUAAAACCGGAGACUUCCUUGAUCCGUCCUUACAUCGUUUGUGCUGUUUUG
rnacentral:misc_RNA from 1 species